rnacentral:rRNA from 1 species
CCUACGGGUGGCAGCAGUGAGGAAUAUUGGUCAAUGGACGGAAGUCUGAACCAGCCAAGUCGCGUGAAGGAUGACGGCCCUACGGGUUGUAAACUUCUUUUGUCAGGGAGCACUUGGGAACACGCGAGGGCUUAGCGAGAUAACCUGAAGAAAAAGCAUCGGCUAACUCCGUGCGAGCAGCCGCGUUAUACCGGGGGUUGCGAUCGUUAUCCGGAUUGAGUGGGUUUAAAGGGUGCGUAGGCGGAAUAUCAAGUCAGCGGUAAAAAUUCGGGGUUCAACCCCGUGGUGCCGUUGAAACGGAUGUUCUUUAGUGGGCGAAAAGUAGGCGGAAUGCGUGGUGUAGCGGUGAAAUGCAUAGAUAUCACGCAGAACUCCGAUUGCGAAGGCAGCAUACCGGCGCCCAACUGACGCUGAAGCACGAAAGCGUGGGUAUCGAACAGGAUUAGAUACCCGGGUAGUC